rnacentral:rRNA from 1 species
GACGAAGGGGGCUAGCGUUGUUCGGAAUUACUGGGCGUAAAGCGAGUGUAGGUGGUUGUCCAAGUUGGAUGUGAAAGCCUUGAGCUCAACUCAAGAAAUGCAUUCAGGACUGGGCGACUAGAGGACCGGAGAGGAUAGUGGAAUUCCCAGUGUAGUGGUGAAAUACGUAGAGAUUGGGAAGAACACCAGUGGCGAAGGCGGCUCACUGGCCCGGUACUGACGCUGAGGUGCGAAAGGCGUGGGGAGCAAACAGG